GAAUAUUGCGCAAUGGGCGGAAGCCUGACGCAGCGACGCCGCGUGGGGGAUGACGGCCUUCGGGUUGUAAACCUCUUUCAGCAGGGACGAAGCGGAAGUGACGGUACCUGCAGAAGAAGCACCGGCCAACUACGUGCCAGCAGCCGCGGUAAUACGUAGGGUGCAAGCGUUGUCCGGAAUUAUUGGGCGUAAAGAGCUCGUAGGCGGUUCGUCGCGUCGGCUGUGAAAACCUGAGGCUCAACCUCAGGCCUGCAGUCGAUACGGGCGGACUUGAGUGUUGCAGGGGAGACUGGAAUUCCUGGUGUAGCGGUGAAAUGCGCAGAUAUCAGGAGGAACACCGGUGGCGAAGGCGGGUCUCUGGGCAACUACUGACGCUGAGGAGCGAAAGCGUGGGGAGCGAACAGG
rnacentral:rRNA from 1 species